rnacentral:sRNA from 1 species
UCUAAAUUAAUCUCUUUUAUUUGGUGGGUUUUUCUUUUUUUUUCUUUUUCUUUUUUCUUUUUUUUGUUUUUACUGUAGAAAAUCCAGCAUAACUGACUGACAAAAUGUUUUAAAGCCAAACAAGUCCAUUUUGUGUUUUAGAUUUCAGCCUUCCAAGUUCUGAUGUAACAAACAACUUAAAACCCAGUCUUCAUCCACAGAUGAACUUGCUAGCCUUGGAGAAUACAGAGAUACCCCCGUUUGCCCAAAGGACCAGCCAAAACCUCACCUCAAGCCACGCAUAUGAUAAUUUUCUGGAACAUUCAAAUUCAGUGUUUCUACAGCCGGUUAGUCUACAAACCAUUGCAGCAGCACCAUCAAACCAGAGUCUGCCACCUUUGCCCAGCAAUCAUCCAGCGAUGACAAAAAGUGAUCUCCAGCCACCUAAUUACUACGAGGUAAUGGAGUUUGAUCCCUUAGCUCCUGCUGUCACUACAGAAGCUAUUUAUGAAGAAAUUGAUGCUCACCAGCACAAAGGAGCUCAAAAUGAUGGUGACUGAGAAGAAAGUGGAUGAUCAGCUCACUACCACAUCAAAGGUGCCAACUCUCUAAAACGUAGACUCUGUGCAGCUUUGAAGCCUGGAAGACAAUACCUACCAACAUGUCAAAGCCAUGGUGGCACAUUUCUGCUACAAUGAAGAUUAAAUAGAAUAACAGUUCCAGGAUAACACUGAUUCCUG